AACUUCUGAAUGUUGACCUCGGAUCAGGUAGGAAUACCCGCUGAACUUAAGCAUAUCAAUAAGCGGAGGAAAAGAAACCAACAGGGAUUGCCCUAGUAACGGCGAGUGAAGCGGCAACAGCUCAAAUUUGAAAUCUGGCUCUCGGGCCCGAGUUGUAAUUUGUAGAGGAUGCUUUUGAUGCGGUGCCUUCCGAGUUCCCUGGAACGGGACGCCAUAGAGGGUGAGAGCCCCGUCUGGUUGGAUGCCAAAUCUCUGUAAAGCUCCUUCGACGAGUCGAGUAGUUUGGGAAUGCUGCUCUAAAUGGGAGGUAUAUGUCUUCUAAAGCUAAAUACCGGCCAGAGACCGAUAGCGCACAAGUAGAGUGAUCGAAAGAUGAAAAGCACUUUGAAAAGAGAGUUAAAAAGUACGUGAAAUUGUUGAAAGGGAAGCGUUUAUGACCAGACUUGGGCUUGGUUAAUCAUCUGGGGUUCUCCCCAGUGCACUUUUCCAGUCCAGGCCAGCAUCAGUUUUCGCCGGGGGAUAAAGGCUUCGGGAAUGUGGCUCUCUCCGGGGAGUGUUAUAGCCCGUUGCGUAAUACCCUGGCGGGGACUGAGGUUCG
rnacentral:rRNA from 1 species